rnacentral:lncRNA from 1 species
GAAGGUGUUGCUGGUUCUUUGAAUUUAACCAUUAAUGUUGUUCAGUUGCCAAUAUCAAGCAAGGCAAACAUAAGCCGCUUUUAAUCUGUUUAGGGAGAGAGGUAGUGCUUUUCACAGUGACUGUUAGAAUCAUAUCAGAGGGUGAGGUGCAAGCUCACGGAGUCAAAUCAUGAUGAAGUUAUAUGUGUUUAUAGUUAAUACUGGAACUACUCUAACAUUUGACACUAAACAUGCAGUACAAACUGUGGCAGACCUUAAACAUGAUAUUCAAAGCAAAUAAAGAUUGCUGUUAAGUGUCAGUACUUGUAAUCAAUGGAAGAGAAUACAUGGCUUCAGUUUGAAGAGUGUGUACCUACACCACUGGAGAC